AGCAGCCGCGGUAAUUCCAGCUCCAAUAGCGUAUAUUAAAGUUGUUGCAGUUAAAAAGCUCGUAGUUGAAUUUCGGGAUUCUACCGUUGGUCGGGCUAUUGUCUGUACUGGUGCGUAGAAUUUCUACCUUCUGGGGAACCAUCAUGUUAUUAAUUUAGCGUGGUGGGAAACCAGAACCUUUACCUUGAAAAAAUUAGGGUGUUCAAAGCAGGCUUACGUCUGAAUACAUUAGCAUGGAAUAAUAGAAUAGGACGGUGGUCCUGUUUUGUUGGUUUCUGAAUCACCGUAAUGAUUAAUAGGGAUAGUUGGGGGCAUUAGUAUUCAAUUGUCAGAGGUGAAAUUCUUGGAUUUAUUGAAGACUAACUACUGCGAAAGCAUUUGCCAAGGAUGUUCUCAUUAAUCAAGAACGAAAGUUAGGGAUACGAAGACGAUCAGAUACCGUCGUAGUCUUAACCAUAAACUAUGCCGACUAGGGAUCGGACG
rnacentral:rRNA from 1 species